GGAAUUCUGAAUUAUGGAAUCUGGCUGAUUGUAAUGAAAAAAUACAAUCCUUUCUCCUUAUGUUUCAAGCCUGCCCAUAAGAUGCAUGCCUUAGCAUUUGCUCUUCUGCCAAGGACUAAGAAGCCUGCUCCGUGGGGGCUUCUUACCAUAAUGAAUGGAAACUUCACAAACAAGUACCAGAGAAUUAUGUAACAGAUCAAGACUGGUGCUAGAAAAG